UACGGAGGAUGCAAGCGUUAUCCGGAUUCAUUGGGUUUAAAGGGUGCGUAGGCGGGAUGAUAAGUCAGAGGUGAAAGCCAGCAGCUCAACUGUUGAACUGCCUUUGAUACUGUCGUUCUUGAAUAUGGUUGGAGUGGGCGGAAUGUGACAUGUAGCGGUGAAAUGCGUAGAUAUGUCACAGAACACCGAUCGCGAAGGCAGCUCACUAAGCCAUUAUUGACGCUGAUGCACGAAAGCGUGGGGAGAAAACAGGAUUAGAUACCCUGGUAGUCCACGCCGUAAACGAUGAUAACUCGACGUUGGCAAUAUACUGUUCAGCGUCUAAGCGAAAGCGUUAAGUUAUCCACCUGGGGAGUACGAUCGCAAGGUUGAA
rnacentral:rRNA from 1 species